UGGAAGAAAGUGUCCUCUUAGCCCUCUCACAUGAAGUCCUAAGCCUUCUCAAAGCCCUGGGGUUCCCAGUGAUAUCCUUCUUGUUUUUCCGCUUAAACUCUUGGACAAAGUGGUUCACCAAGCGGUUGUCAAAGUCCUCCCCACCAAGGUGAGUGUCACCAGCUGUGGCCUUCACCUCAAAUAUACCCUCCUCAAUAGUGAGGAGAGAAACAUCAAAAGUGCCACCACCAAGGUCAAAAAUAAGGACAUUCUUCUCACCAACACUAGUAGCUUUCUUGUCAAGACCAUAGGCAAUUGCAGCAGCAGUUGGCUCAUUGAUGAUACGCAUGACAUUGAGCCCGGCAAUAACACCAGCAUCCUUAGUUGCCUGCCUCUGGGAAUCAUUAAAGUAAGC
rnacentral:lncRNA from 1 species